rnacentral:lncRNA from 1 species
GUUUCUAGGGAAUACAUCUAACAAUUUAAAAGUUCUUGGAUCAACAAGAAUAUUGAUGUGAGCCUCAAUUAUGGAUCUCUUCAAAAAAUUAACUUCAUCAGGAGGCCAAUCUCAUUAGAAAGCUCACCUCAUCAGGAGGCCCACCUCAUUAGAAGCCUGACCUCAUCUGAAGGCUGAGUUCAUCAAAAAAUUGAUCUCAUCAGGAGGUCGAGC